rnacentral:rRNA from 1 species
AGAGUUUGAUCCUGGCUCAGGACGAACGCUGGCGGCGCGCCUAACACAUGCAAGUCGAACGGAGUUAAGAGGAGCUUGCUUUUCUUAACUUAGUGGCGAACGGGUGAGUAACGCGUGAGUAACCUGCCCUGGAGUGGGGGACAACAGUUGGAAACGACUGCUAAUACCGCAUAAGCCCACGGAACCGCAUGGUUCUGAGGGAAAAGGAUUUAUUCGCUUCAGGAUGGACUCGCGUCCAAUUAGCUAGUUGGUGAGGUAACGGCCCACCAAGGCGACGAUUGGUAGCCGGACUGAGAGGUUGAACGGCCACAUUGGGACUGAGACACGGCCCAGACUCCUACGGGAGGCAGCAGUGGGGGAUAUUGCACAAUGGGGGAAACCCUGAUGCAGCGACGCCGCGUGGAGGAAGAAGGUUUUCGGAUUGUAAACUCCUGUCGUUAGGGACGAUAAUGACGGUACCUAACAAGAAAGCACCGGCUAACUACGUGCCAGCAGCCGCGGUAAAACGUAGGGUGCAAGCGUUGUCCGGAAUUACUGGGUGUAAAGGGAGCGCAGGCGGACCGGCAAGUUGGAAGUGAAAACUAUGGGCUCAACCCAUAGAUUGCUUUCAAAACUGCUGGCCUUGAGUAGUGCAGAGGUAGGUGGAAUUCCCGGUGUAGCGGUGGAAUGCGUAGAUAUCGGGAGGAACACCAGUGGCGAAGGCGGCCUACUGGGCACCAACUGACGCUGAGGCUCGAAAGUGUGGGUAGCAAACAGGAUUAGAUACCCUGGUAGUCCACACCGUAAACGAUGAUUACUAGGUGUUGGAGGAUUGACCCCUUCAGUGCCGCAGUUAACACAAUAAGUAAUCCACCUGGGGAGUACGACCGCAAGGUUGAAACUCAAAGGAAUUGACGGGGGCCCGCACAAGCAGUGGAGUAUGUGGUUUAAUUCGAAGCAACGC